GCAUCGGUGGUUCGGUGGUAGAAUGCUCGCUCGCCACGCGGGCGGCCUGUUUCCGAUUCCCGCCGAUGCA